rnacentral:rRNA from 1 species
UACGAGGGGGGCAAGCGUUGUUCGGAAUUAUUGGGCGUAAAGGGUGCGUAGGCGGUCUGAUAAGUCAUCUGUGAAAUCUAUGGGCUCAACCCAUAGUCUGCAGGCGAAACUGUCGGGCUUGAGUAUGGGAGAGGUGAGUGGAAUUUCCGGUGUAGCGGUGAAAUGCGUAGAGAUCCGGAAGAACACCGGUGGCGAAGGCGGUGAGCUGGGCAGUAGCUGACACUGAGGCGCGACAGCGUGGGGAGCAAACAGG